GACGAACGCUGGCGGCGUGCCUAAUACAUGCAAGUAGAACGCUGAAGGAGGAGCUUGCUCUUCUGGAUGAGUUGCGAACGGGUGAGUAACGCGUAGGUAACCUGCCUGGUAGCGGGGGAUAACUAUUGGAAACGAUAGCUAAUACCGCAUAAGAGUAGAUGUUGCAUGACAUUUACUUAAAAGGUGCAAUUGCAUCACUACCAGAUGGACCUGCGUUGUAUUAGCUAGUUGGUGGGGUAACGGCUUACCAAGGCGACGAUACAUAGCCGACCUGAGAGGGUGAGCGGCCACACUGGGACUGAGACACGGCCCAGACUCCUACGGGAGGCAGCAGUAGGGAAUCUUCGGCAAUGGACGGAAGUCUGACCGAGCAACGCCGCGUGAGUGAAGAAGGUUUUCGGAUCGUAAAGCUCUGUUGUAAGAGAAGAACGAGUGUGAGAGUGGAAAGUUCACACUGUGACGGUAUCUUACCAGAAAGGGACGGCUAACUACGUG
rnacentral:rRNA from 1 species